GAUGAACGCUGGCGGCGUGCUUAACACAUGCAAGUCGAGCGAGAUUAUUCUUCGGAAUAGUCUAGCGGCGGACGGGUGAGUAACACGUGGGCAACCUGCCUUGUAGAGGGGGAUAGCCUUCCGAAAGGAAGAUUAAUACCGCAUAAUGUUAUUGAAAGGCAUCUUUCGAUAAUCAAAGGAGCAAUCCGCUACAAGAUGGGCCAGCGGCGCAUUAGCUAGUUGGUGAGGUAACGGCUCACCAAGGCAACGAAGCGUAGCCGACCUGAGAGGGUGAUCGGCAACAUUGGGACUGAGACACGGACCAGACUCCUACGGGAGGCAGAAGUGGGGAAUAUUGCACAAUGGGGGAAACCCUGAUGCAGCAACGCCGCGUGAGUGAUGACGGCCUUCGGGUUGUAAAGCUCUGUCUUUGGGGACGAUAAUGACGGUACCCAAGGAGGAGGUCACGGCUAACUACGUGCCAGCCGCCGCAGUAA
rnacentral:rRNA from 1 species